rnacentral:rRNA from 1 species
AGUGAACGCUGGCGGUAGGCCUAACACAUGCAAGUCGAACGGCAGCACAGUAAGAGCUUGCUCUUACGGGUGGCGAGUGGCGGACGGGUGAGGAAUACAUCGGAAUCUACUUUUUCGUGGGGGAUAACGUAGGGAAACUUACGCUAAUACCGCAUACGACCUACGGGUGAAAGCAGGGGAUCUUCGGACCUUGCGCGAUUGAAUGAGCCGAUGUCGGAUUAGCUAGUUGGCGGGGUAAAGGCCCACCAAGGCGACGAUCCGUAGCUGGUCUGAGAGGAUGAUCAGCCACACUGGAACUGAGACACGGUCCAGACUCCUACGGGAGGCAGCAGUGGGGAAUAUUGGACAAUGGGCGCAAGCCUGAUCCAGCCAUACCGCGCGGGUGAAGAAGGCCUUCGGGUUGUAAAGCCCUUUUGUCGGGAAAGAAAAGCAGCAGGUUAAUACCCCGCUGUUCUGACGGUACCCAAAGAAUAAGCACCGGCUAACUUCGUG